rnacentral:rRNA from 1 species
AUUGAACGCUGGCGGCAUGCCUUACACAUGCAAGUCGAACGGUAACAGGGAGCUUGCUCCGCUGACGAGUGGCGAACGGGUGAGUAAUGUAUCGGAACGUACCAUUCAGUGGGGGAUAACGUAGCGAAAGUUACGCUAAUACCGCAUAUUCUGUGAGCAGGAAAGCAGGGGAUCGCAAGACCUUGCGCUGAUUGAGCGGCCGAUAUCAGAUUAGCUAGUUGGUGAGGUAAAGGCUCACCAAGGCGACGAUCUGUAGCGGGUCUGAGAGGAUGAUCCGCCACACUGGAACUGAGACACGGUCCAGACUCCUACGGGAGGCAGCAGUGGGGAAUUUUGGACAAUGGGGGCAACCCUGAUCCAGCCAUGCCGCGUGAGUGAAGAAGGCCUUCGGUUGUAAAGCUCUUUCGGCCGGGAAAAUACGCAUCAGUUAAUACCUGGUGUGGAUGAUGGUACCGGAAUAAGAAGCACCGGCUAACUACGUGACCG